rnacentral:tRNA from 1 species
CAAAUUUUAGUUUAGUUAUUAAAAUUAUUCACUUACAUUGAAUGGAUAUAAAAUAUUUUUUUUAUAAAUUUGA